UACAGAGGUGGCAAGCGUUGUUCGGAAUUACUGGGCGUAAAGGGCGAGUAGGUGGCCAUCUAAGUCAGACGUGAAAUCCCCCGGCUUAACCUGGGAACUGCGUCUGAUACUGGACGGCUAGAGUUUGGGAGAGGGAUGCAGAAUUCCAGGUGUAGCGGUGAAAUGCGUAGAUAUCUGGAGGAAUACCGGUGGCGAAGGCGGCCUGCUGGGCAGUUACUGACACUGAGGCGCGACAGCGUGGGGAGCAAACAGGG
rnacentral:rRNA from 1 species